GGGUAUUUUCGGCGACAGUUGGAAAGUCAAGUAAUAAACAGAUCUGGUCCAUUCCUGUCUAAAGACCCUUUGAGAAUAAUCUCAACCUGAGCCAUUUAUUGGCUUUAAUAAUGAGAAAAUUUUUGGCAAAUGUUUUGAAGAAUGGCAUUCAAAUCUGACUGUUAACAGCCUAUGACACGUGGGCAAGAUCUGUUUGAGUUCACAGUUCCUCUCAUCAUUUUGGAGGGCUGGGAGCCUACACGGGAUCCUGGGAAAACUGGCAGAAGCUGGCAAAGGGUGAGAAUUCUUAUCAAAGUCAGCUCUCCCAGAUAUCUGUGGUGUCCCAUUAAGAC
ensembl:lncRNA